GUCUAUGGUUAUACCACCCUGAAUGCACCCAAUCUCAUUUAAUUUCAAAAGCUAAGCAGGGUCAGACCUAGUUAGCACUUGGAUGGGAGAGGGAUCAGCAGUUAAGGAGC
rnacentral:rRNA from 1 species